rnacentral:piRNA from 1 species
UGUGAAUCUUGCUGUGUGUACUUACAACCCUC